rnacentral:rRNA from 1 species
GAAUAUUGGACAAUGGGGGCAACCCUGAUCCAGCCAUGCCGCGUGUGUGAAGAAGGCCUUUUGGUUGUAAAGCACUUUAAGCAGUGAAGAAGACUCCAUGGUUAAUACCACUGGACGAUGACAUACGCUGCAGCAUACGCACCGGCUAACUCUGUCCCACCACCCGCGGUAAUACCGAGGGUGCAAGCGUUAAUCGGAAUUACUGGGCGUAAAGCGAGCGUAGGUGGCUUGAUAAGUCAGAUGUGAAAUCCCCGGGCUUAACCUGGGAACUGCAUCUGAUACUGUUAGGCUAGAAUAGGUGAGAGUAAGGUAGAAUUCCAGGUGUAGCGGUGAAAUGCGUAGAGAUCUGGAGGAAUACCGAUGGCGAAGGCAGCCUUCUGACAUCAUAUUGACACUGAGGUUCGAAAGCGUGGGUAGCAAAC